GUUCCAACCCUAGCCCCCACGCCCCCACUCUCCCGCACCCGCACCCGCUCGCCAAACCCUAGCUGCCACCGCCGCCCCCGCAUCAUGGCCAUCGACGAUGAGGAGCCCGAAUCCCCAUGCCUCCCAAGCGCCCGAAACCCUAGCCCACAGCGCAGCCAUGGCGACCGAGCUCUGGAUCCGGUCCAGGGCGCCGCCAUCAUGCAGCAGCACCACCAGCUGGACCAGUGGCUCGCCGGCGACGUGGGCGGGGUGCACGCGUCCUCCAGCACCAUCCGCGACUGUCUCCCAUCGCUAGGCCCAAACCCAAACCCAAACCAGCCGCCUCUCUCCCGGCUCCCUCCCCCGACGCAAACCAGCCGCCACCCCGCCCCCGCUGGUGACCUUGCCGCCGUGCACCGCCCUCCACCCUCCGCCACCCUCUUCCCCUCCCCCGCCUCGUCCCCUCGCCUUCUCGCCCGGAUGGAGCAGCAGGUGAGGCGGCGGCCAGAUCCGCCGAGGUGGUUCCGGAUCCGCCCCGCUGUCAGGCGACGGAGGCGCUCGAGGGCGGCUGCGUCUCCCCAGCCGCUCACGCGCCAGGAGAGGAGGAGGUGGCGGGCACGGCUUCCUUUCUCCGGCGACGACGCGGCCGUUCGAUGGUUUGACGCCGCUCUUCCGCGUGAUGACAGAGCAUGCCGCGGCUCCUCUGCGCCGACCAUGGGGGACGAAGCCAUGGAUCUCAUCAAGGAGAACCUCAGAUGCCUGGCUGGCUGCUCGCUCAUCUCCUCGCACGCAGGGUUUUUGUUGCUUCGGAUCGCUUCCUCCUUGACACCCCGAUUUGGACAGCGGCAGCAGCGAUGGUGUUGACACUCGAGCAUGCCUACCUCUCCAUCUAUAACUGGGUGCAGGUGCUCUACUACGUGCUACUCCAGACGGGUCACCUGGACGUGUACGUCGGCAAUCGAGAGGCCGCUCCAGCUCGUGCAGACCAUUGACUGGCUCUACCAUUGAUCAGUUAUCUGUUAUUGAUUUUACAACUGUCCAGGCUUGAAUUUACUUGGGAGUACAUAUUCCAAGGACUUGAAGAAAAUGCCAAUCUUAUGAUGACCCUCUCCCUUGCUGCAUUAGGUUCCUUGAUGUGGCUGAGGAAGAACAAACCUAGGACUUUAAUUCCAAUAAUUUAUGCAUGUGCUCUGCUUCUGGCAAAAAUGCCAUCUAUCACCUGGAGGAGCACGCCUAGGAGAAGAGAGGGCUCAUUCCAGUUGUUUGGAAUAGAAGACAAUGAAGCAUGGUGGUUAUCUAGAUAAUCUGCCUUGUGUUUUGGUUGUACUUUGUACCUAGUUAUAUUGUAUUCUGUAGUAGUCAGCACAUUCUGGAGCAGAAUCCAAUGAAGUUGUAAAACUGUAAGAAAUGUGAGAAGUAUACUUUGUACCUA